GUAGGGAAUAUUGGGCAAUGGUCGGAAGACUGACCCAGCCAUGCCGCGUGCAGGAAGACGGCCCUCUGGGUUGUAAACUGCUUUUAUCUGGGAAGAAAAAGGCCAUGCGUGGCAAAUUGCCGGUACCAGAUGAAUAAGCACCGGCUAACUCCGUGCCAGCAGCCGCGGUAAUACGGAGGGUGCGAGCGUUGUCCGGAUUUAUUGGGUUUAAAGGGUGAGUAGGCGGCUGAUUAAGUCAGCGGUGAAAGACUUCGGCUUAACCGGAGCAGUGCCGUUGAUACUGGUUGGCUUGAGUGUCGGAGGGGUACAUGGAAUUGAUGGUGUAGCGGUGAAAUGCAUAGAUACCAUCAGGAACACCGAUAGCGAAGGCAUUGUACUGGCCGACAACUGACGCUGAUGCACGAAAGUGUGGGGAUCGAACAGGAUUAGAAACCCCAGUAGUCC
rnacentral:rRNA from 1 species